GCGGAGGGCUGGAUGGUCGCGGGGUGCCUGGCAUCCCGAGGAAAGUCCGGACUCCACAAAGCAACGGUGCCGGGUAACGCCCGGCUGGGGUAACCCAAGGGAAAGCGCCACAGAGAACAGAUUUCAGGCGCGUUCGCGCGCGUGUAAAGGUGAAAAGGUGGGGUAAGAGCCCACCGCGGUUCUGGCAACAGAAACGGCACGGCAAGCCCCACCGGGAGCAAUGCCAAAUAGGGAUCUUGUGCGGGGUUUGGUCGGGCAACCGAGACCACCCGCGGGGCGCUUUGCCCUGAAGAUCCGGGUUGGCAGCUAGAGGUCGUCGCGUAAGCGGCGGUUUAGAUGAAUGAUCAUCCAGCGGGGGCAACCCUGCGGACAGAAUCCGGCUUAUAGGCCCUCCGCGCAU
rnacentral:RNase_P_RNA from 1 species